UGCAGUCGAGCGGACAGAAGGGAGCUUGCUCCCGGAUGUUAGCGGCGGACGGGUGAGUAACACGUGGGUAACCUGCCUGUAAGACUGGGAUAACUCCGGGAAACCGGAGCUAAUACCGGAUAGUUCCUUGAACCGCAUGGUUCAAGGAUGAAAGACGGUUUCGGCUGUCACUUACAGAUGGACCCGCGGCGCAUUAGCUAGUUGGUGAGGUAACGGCUCACCAAGGCGACGAUGCGUAGCCGACCUGAGAGGGUGAUCGGCCACACUGGGACUGAGACACGGCCCAGACUCCUACGGGAGGCAGCAGUAGGGAAUCUUCCGCAAUGGACGAAAGUCUGACGGAGCAACGCCGCGUGAGUGAUGAAGGUUUUCGGAUCGUAAAGCUCUGUUGUUAGGGAAGAACAAGUGCAAGAGUAACUGCUUGCAC
rnacentral:rRNA from 1 species